AACGAACGCUGGCAGCGUGGAUUAGGCAUGCAAGUCGAACGGGAUCCGGGGCUAUAGCAAUAUAAUCCCGGUGAUAGUGGCGGAAGGGUGAGUAACGCGUGGGUAAGCUACCUUGAAGUUGGGGACAACCAGAUGAAAAUCUGGCUAAUACCGAAUGUGGUCUUCUGGCGCAUGUCAGGAUGACUGAAGGCGGGGAUCUUCGGACCUGUCGCUUUGAGAGGCGCCCGCGUGCCAUCAGCUAGUUGGUAGGGUAACGGCCUACCAAGGCUUACGGCUAGCCGGACUGAGAGGUUGACCGGCCACACUGGGACUGAGACACUGCCCAGACUCCUACGGGAGGCUG
rnacentral:rRNA from 1 species